ACGGAAGGCAGCAGUGGGGAAUAUUGCACAAUGGGGGGAACCCUGAUGCAGCGAUGCCGCGUGAGUGAAGAAGUAUUUCGGUAUGUAAAGCUCUAUCAGCAGGGAAGAAGAUGACGGUACCUGACUAAGAAGCACCGGCUAAAUACGUGCCAGCAGCCGCGGUAAUACGUAUGGUGCAAGCGUUAUCCGGAUUUACUGGGUGUAAAGGGAGCGCAGGUGGCGAUGCAAGCCAGAAGUGAAAGCCCGGGGCUCAACCCCGGUACUGCUUUUGGAACUGUGUUGCUGGAGUGCAGGAGGGGCAGGCGGAAUUCCUGGUGUAGCGGUGAAAUGCGUAGAUAUCAGGAGGAACACCGGUGGCGAAGGCGGCCUGCUGGACUGUAACUGACACUGAGGCUCGAAAGCGUGGGGAGCAAACAGGAUUAGAUACCCUGGUA
rnacentral:rRNA from 1 species